GAGUACAAGGAUGGAUUUGGGGAUCAUAGCGACUCUUACUGGAUUGGAAAUGACUUGAUUCAUCAGCUUACCAAGGGAAAUGACUCAUCCCUCUACGUCUCUAUCACAUUACAAAAUGGCAAUAUUUUGUAUGAACAUUAUCAUCAGUUUUCUGUUUCUGGUGAAUCAGACAAAUACAAACUCUUUCUUGGAGGACCAGCUACCGGAACCUUGGCAGACCGUUU